AUUUACUUUUGUAAACCGUGUAAUGUUGAUUAGAUAAAACAAACUAGAUCAUUCUUCUAUUGUGUUUGAGAAAAAUUGUAAACCGUUUGCAACAGUAUCUCUCGUACUACUUCCAUAUAAGGGAUGUCCUGAUGCACGUGUAGAGGGUCACUGAAGUACGCUGUGGAUGGCACUGAAGUACGUACAGGAGACUAGUGCCAGUCAACCAAAAAACUUGGCCGCGUGAUUCGGAAUUUUCAAAAUGGCGGACCAUUUUUCGUSUACGGGACUCGCUCUGAUCUUAAUUACAUCGUUGUACUAGUGCAUCCCAUCAAUUAAUUGCUCUUGUAUUGUUAUACUUCAUUUUCAUAUGAUAUGACUGAGCGAUUCCUCUCUUUGCUGUGAACAAAAAGAAGCAUUGAUACUUGUAUUGAUCGGAUGAUCACAACACGGUCUCUAGACUGGUUUAGGAUAUCAUAAAAUGUCACAAAGCCUGGCAAUAUGGAUAAUCGUUAUUCCAAUGCACCAUAGUAUAACCGAGAGAGAAUAGACAGCAUUUUUUUUUAUUAAUACAUGAGGAUUCAAAAUUCAAAAUGGCGGACGAUGGGGAAAUAUUUUCUUCAAAAUGCUUAACUAUUUAUCUUACUCGAAUAUGCCGUUAUUAAUUUCUGUUGAACUUUCUCAGUUCUUAAACUCGUACAUUUUGGUCGAAUGAACAACAAUUCAAAGGAGAAAUAUCUUGCCCAAAAAGAUUCUAUUGAUUGCAAAGAUGAGCUAUAUUCUCUGGAUAUAGAUGAUGACUUAAGAUCUAGUACAGGUAAAAGAAACCAGAUGUAAUUAAUUUCCAUUGUUGUUUUCCAUAUGCUUUUGCUAGAAGUGAUGUUUCUAAGCAAUAUUUUUGUCAUUCAAUGUCAGAAUUCAGUGUCUCUCGCGCUGAUUGGCUGAUUAGAGUGCUGCAAUAAGAGAAGAGAUGUACUGUGAUCUCGCGCGCGGUCAGUAGAAAGAAAACAAAUGAAAAUGUGUGGUAAAAAUCAAAUUGCAGAUGAUUUUUCGUUCAUCUACGUAGCUCCUUAUUGCAGCACUCUUACGUCAGAAAAUGUUCAAAGCUUUGCAGUGAAAUCGCUCGCUGCACUCAUGAUUCCACUUGAGUUUUUAACAUUUUCUGACAUCAGAGUGCUGCAAUAAGAAGCUAGAGGAACUCAAAACCAUCUUCAAUUUGUUAAAUAGAAUUAGCUCUUUGGUAAAAGGGUAAACUGCAGCUCAUCAGUUAAAAUGUGUUGCCMCACUUUUCAUUCAGUUUAUCUUGUUUGCACGGCAAACAAGCCCAAAUCUCAACAAAAAUGGGAAGUACGAAUACAGAAGAGCAUUGACAACUCAGCAAGCCUGCGCCCAGUUCUGCUACAAAAUGCUAUAAUUAGAAAUUGUGCAGUUUGAAAAAUUAUCUGAACUGUGUGGGGUUGGAGAGGCAAUCAUCAGAUGUGAAGAUUGUUAUAAGACAAAACAUCUGUGUGUAAGCUGUGACAUCACUGUCCACACAAAACAUCCACUUCAUGAUAGAGGAGCCAUAAAUUGAAUAUUCCAAGCUAUCCCUCACAAUGUUGUGUUCGAUUCAACAUGCACUAAUCUAGUCAAUAUCAAACAGACAAUUCCUGGAAUCGCUAUUACUACUACAAUAUAUCCAUAUGGUAACAUGGUGUCUUGUUCUGUUGACAGUGGUGUUGAUAGCCAUGCCAUAUUUGUUUCAGUUAUAGGUAUUUUGUUUUUUUUAAAUUCCAAUCAAUAUUGCUAUUUAUUA